rnacentral:lncRNA from 1 species
CAUAACCCAUAAGUUUUGCAUAAGUUGCCCGAAGGUGGGGUACUCAACUUAUCGGGAAAUUCUUUUCUAUUUUAUGUCUCUAAUUUUUACCUGGAUUGCCAUUUCGAGUUUUCAUUCCACCGAGACGGUCAUUUUUGCCUAAGCCGCCCUUUCGGGUUUUCAACUUAGCGAGUUGUUCUUUUAUUAUUUAAAUUCAACUAGUCAAACCUGGUUUGACACCAUUCAU